UAUGUUUCAGUCCAAGAUGCAAAUCAGCAAGCUUGCUUCAACAAUACUAAGCAUUAGAUCAAAUCAAAACCAAAAUCAAAGAAUAAAAGUAAGUUUGCAUGAGAGAGUUGAUUAAGAAAUAAAAGAAAUGUUAUCUUGUUUUCUUUUCAGCAUUUAGGGGGAGAAAAUACAAAAUUUCUAAGGGAAAAAGAGGUGCAUUUCUUUUGAAACACCAUUUACACGUAUGUAUAGGUAAUAUCCCUUGCAUUGGUAGGCAUGAAUGCCAAGAUCAUUAGCACUGCUAAGAUGCCUAUAGGAAGCAGAAGCAAUAAGAAAGGUGGUGGAGGUAAUGGUGGAAGUAUCAGAGGAAGGAUCAACAGAGAUGCUGUGAGACAUAUUAACAGCAGCAGUGAUUCCAAGCUGAAAUAGCUUGCAGGAAACAACCUUCUCCCACUGCCUUGUGACAUAGAUCUUUGAUACUCCAUUUUCUUUUUCUCUACUCUUAGGGGAGGGGGAGGAGUUGGGGUUGUGACAUUCAUCUUUCUUGCUCUCCCAUCCAUAAUUUUGCUAGGAUAAUGAUCUUGCAGGUUGAUUAUACUUCUUGAAAAUUUUGUAUCUGACUUAGGAUGUCCACAACUCAUUUAAUACUUGUUUUAGUCACCAAAUCCCCAGAAUCCCAGAUGAGAUCAAUUUCUUCACAAGUUCAAAAUUCCACAGAUCUCUGCCGCUGAUUUCUCCAAAUUGAUCAAUGGACAACCAGCUCUGUCCUAGCCUAGAAAUUUUCUCUCAGUAAUGGAAAUCAAAGCUCAGCCAAGAUUCUUACCAUUCAAUUUGAAUCAACUAUUGAAGUUCAACCCAGAUUGUGAAAUGUGGUAUGCAGCUAACCAGCAGCUCUAUACUCUCGAAGAAAGAUGUGUGAAAUUCUGUUUUCUUUUCCAGGAGUCAAGAAUGCUAAUGCUUCUUGUCAGAUCACAAUGUGUACACUUGGUUCAUCAAUUGCAAGAAGUGUAAAGCAGAUUCAAAGACAAAUUUACAAGAAACAUAGAAGAAAUUCGAAAUUCCACUAACAACAACAAUGUAAAACUCCUGCUACCAUUCUUUAUAUUGUUAUCUCUAUCCUCCUGUUUCAAGAAAAUCCAGCUGCCUUCAAUUUCAGAACACAGAAAUUAACUUCGUCCCCAAUUGGCCAACUGUGACAAAGAUGGCAAAGAUGCUCUAGCUUUUGAUGGUGCAAGAGGCGGUUUCAAAUAAGGCAAUUACAAAGAGGGAAUGCACAAUCGUAAUCUUUUUGCACCUCAGAAAUUCUUUGCUCUUGUUUGGAGAUCUCUCUCUUUAGUUUUCACUCUCUAUCUCUCUUUAAUUCAUAGGGAUCAAGAUAAACAAAGAAAGAAAGGAAGAAAGAAAAUGAAGGAAGGAAAGAAUGGAGAAUGUGCAAGUUCAGUUGAAAGAGAUGAAUUUUGAAGGCUUUUUGGUUUCAAACACUGUAUUUGUAUAAUUAUUACUAUUUAGUUUUUGAAGAUUCAUAGCAUAGAAAA
rnacentral:misc_RNA from 1 species